GACCAUAUGCGCCCGUCAGGUGCCCGCGCAUGCGGGAGAAUCGGGAAGCCGGUGCAAUUCCGGGACGUGCCCAACGCUGUGAUGGGGACGGUCGCGCCAGAGACAUGCUCUGAAUGAUUUCAGGGUAUUGCCACUGAAUCUUGAAGCGGUUCGGGAAGGCGGCGCGAGCGGAUGAUCCAAAGUCAGAAGACCGGCCUGGCGAGAUGGACCGCC
rnacentral:ncRNA from 1 species